UACGUAGGCAGCAAGCGUUGUUCGGAGUUACUGGGCGUAAAGGGUGUGUAGGCGGUUGUUUUAAGUUUGGUGUGAAAUCUCCCGGCUUAACUGGGAGGGUGCGGCGGAAACUGGAAUGCUAGAGGGUGGGAGAGGUAAGCGGAAUUCCUGGUGUAGUGGUGAAAUGCGUAGAUACUAGAGGAGGAACACCUGUAGGCGAAAGCGGCGCACUGGACCACAACUGACGCUGAUGCGCGAAAGCUAGGGGAGCAAACAGG
rnacentral:rRNA from 1 species